AUAUAGUAAUUCAAAAACUUGAAAAUUGGGUGUUCACACUCUUGUAAGAUGUGCCUUCUGCAAACCUUGUCACAACAUCAGCACAUUACCUGUCCGAUG
ensembl:snoRNA